rnacentral:tRNA from 1 species
AGCUUCGUGGUCGAGCGGUAAGGGCACUUGCUUCUCACCCUGGUGUCUCGGGUUCGAUACCCGAUCGAGGAGCUA